rnacentral:misc_RNA from 1 species
AAUCAUCAAACCUUACAAUUUUGAAAGGCUUGGAUUUGGGAGCGUUGUUGGCCUUUCUUUUUGGUCAGCUCUCCUUAAAUGCAUUAGCUAGAAGCUUUUUGUAGCCAUCUCUUGGUGUGAUAAUUAUCUAUACCAUUGAAUGUACAAGGCUUUUUGCUUCUAACCGGCGUCUAAUGGGACAAUUUUGACA